rnacentral:rRNA from 1 species
AAUAGAUACCCAGGUAGUCCACGCCGUAAACGGUGGGCACUAGGUGUGGGCGACAUUCCACGUCGUCCGUGCCGCAGCUAACGCAUUAAGUGCCCCGCCUGGGGAGUACGGCCGCAAGGCUAAAACUCAAAGGAAUUGACGGGGGCCCGCACAAGCGGCGGAGCAUGUGGCUUAAUUCGACGCAACGCGAAGAACCUUACCAAGGCUUGACAUACACCGGAAACGUCCAGAGAUGGGCGCCCCCUUGUGGUCGGUGUACAGGUGGUGCAUGGCUGUCGUCAGCUCGUGUCGUGAAAUGUUGGGUUAAGUCCCGCAACGAGCGCAACCCUUGUCCCGUGUUGCCAGCAGGCCCUUGUGGUGCUGGGGACUCACGGGAGACCGCCGGGGUCAACUCGGAAGAAGGUGGGGACGACGUCAAGUCGAUCAUGCCCCUUAUGUCUUGGGCUGCACACGUGCUACAAUGGCCGGUACAAUGAGCUGCGAUACCGCGAGGUGGAGCGAAUCUCAAAAAAGCCGGUCUCAGUUCGGAUUGGGGUCUGC